rnacentral:rRNA from 1 species
UACGUAGGGUGCGAGCGUUGUCCGGAAUUAUUGGGCGUAAAGAGCUCGUAGGCGGUGUGUCACGUCGGCCGUGAAAACCUGGGGCUUAACUCUGGGCGUGCGGUCGAUACGGGCAUCACUAGAGUUCGGCAGGGGAGACUGGAAUUCCUGGUGUAGCGGUGGAAUGCGUAGAGAUCCGGAAGAACACCGGUGGCGAAGGCGGUCUGCUGGGGUGAGGCUGACACUGAUGCGCGACAGCGUGGGGAGCAAACAGG